AAAAUAAUAACGACAAAACGAAAUAAAGGAAGAAAAUUUGCAAGAAUAACUAACAAAAACUUAUAAAUUAAGAAAGUAACACAAAACAAAAAAACAGAUAUACUCUCUAUAUUAUAUAUAAUAAUGGUAUAUUUACCCAUUUUUCUCCACCUCAUUCUAAGUCCCUCCUUCUCUCUUCACCUCUCAUCUCUUUUUCUUUCUUCUCUCAAUCUUUUUUU
rnacentral:sRNA from 1 species